rnacentral:rRNA from 1 species
CGAGCUGGGUUCAGAACGUCGUGAGACAGUUCGGUCCCUAUCCGUCGUGGGCGUAGGAAAUUUGAGAGGAGCUGUCCUUAGUACGAGAGGACCGGGAUGGACACACCGCUGGUGUACCAGUUGUCUUGCCAAAGGCAUCGCUGGGUAGCUAUGUGUGGACGGGAUAAGUGCUGAAAGCAUCUAAGCAUGAAGCCCCCCUCAAGAUGAGAUUUCCCAUUACGCAAGUAAGUAAGAUCCCUCAAAGACGAUGAGGUAGAUAGGUUCGAGGUGGAAGUGUGGUGACACAUGGAGCUGACGAAUACUAAUCGAUCGAGGACUUAACCA